GAUGAACGCUGGCGGCGUGCCUAAUACAUGCAAGUCGAGCGAACAGACGAGGAGCUUGCUCCUUCGACGUUAGCGGCGGACGGGUGAGUAACACGUAGGUAACCUACCUAUAAGACUGGGAUAACUUCGGGAAACCGGAGCUAAUACCGGAUAAUAUUUCGAACCGCAUGGUUCGAUAGUGAAAGAUGGCUUUGCUAUCACUUAUAGAUGGGCCUGCGCCGUAUUAGCUAGUUGGUAAGGUAACGGCUUACCAAGGCAACGAUACGUAGCCGACCUGAGAAGGUGAUCGGCCACACUGGAACUGAGACACGGUCCAGACUCCUACGGGAGGCAGCAGUAGGGAAUCUUCCGCAAUGGGCGAAAGCCUGACGGAGCAACGCCGCGUGAGUGAUGAAGGUCUUCGGAUCGUAAAACUCUGUUAUUAGGGAAGAACAAACGUGUAAGUAACUGUGCACGUCUUGACGGUACCUAAUCAGAAAGCCACGGCUAACUACGUG
rnacentral:rRNA from 1 species